AAGCGCCGAAGCUGAAUAUCGUGCAAUGGCUUCCACUGCAAGCGAACUCAUUUGGAUCAAACAAGUCCUAAAAAAUAUGAAAGUUGAAAGUAAAGAACCAAUGCAAAUGUAUUGCGAUAAUCAAGCUGCUCGACACAUCGUAUCAAAUCCGGUGUUUCACGAACAAACCAAACACAUUGAAGUUGAUUGUCACUUCAUCAGAGAAAAGGUUCAAAAGGGAGAGAUUGAGACCCCCUACAUCAGAAGUCAAGACCAACUGGCAGACAUAUUCACAAAGGCCCUUGAUAGGCAGAAUCAUCAUUCGAUCCUCAACAAGAUGGGUUCCAUAAAUUUACUCGCCACCUUGAGGGGGAGUGUUGAAGAAAGAAGAAAAGAAACUGAGGUCUCAGAGGCUGCACAAGCUAGGUUGCUUGUGCAGACCUAUCAUCACAGACCUCAGGGUAAAAAGGAGCAUCAUUUCCUACAAAGCAGGAAAGGUCACUUCAACCCAUGCCCUAUUCAGAAAGAGUCGUUAGGCAACCGUUAGGAUAGAACACAAAUAAGCAAAUCAUGUAUAUAUAUCUUGCAUCCCACUGUAAAAGAACUCAGAAUCCUUGUUUUUAAUUCAAUAUACUUCAUUGUUCUUUUCACACUCUUUCUUUCAUCUCGCUUAUGUGCAUAGCUGAAGAUUGGUCACAAUGUUUAGCAAACUAUUGCCGCAGACAACAAUUAAUCUUUAUCUUCUUCCUAAAUUGUGCACUUUAUAGCUUCCCCUUUUUGUCAGUGUUUGGGGUUGGCCUGAUGCAGACAUAUAAGCACAAAGCGGAAAAGAUCUAAAACGUACUAUUAAAUUUUUUUGACUGUUAUAUUUGGUAAAAAUUAAAAUCAAAAUAAACUGGAGUUGGUCCACGCACUGUUCUUGAUGAUUUAAUCAGAUAAGUUGCUCACUGUCUUUUAAUUUCAUUUUUGGCAUCCUAAGAAUAAACAGCCUAUUCUUAUUUGAAAUUCUGAAUUCUUCUUUGGUUCUUCCAUUUAUCUCUCUUUUACAGUUUGGCUAUUGUUGCAUAUGAUGCAGAUCAGUGUUUUGUCUAUCCCAAUCAGAUAAUUCCUCAUCAUCAGAUCGUAAGAGAAAGGUUCCAGAAACAGUCACUCUUCCAGAAGCCUUAUUUUAGUGAAGAUGCUGCAUGCAAGAAACAAGCCAGAUAUGUACUGAACUUCACAGAGUCCUUUGAUAUGAAUAUGGAUUUGAGUUUUGAUGAUAUUUGAAGUAUUUACUGCCUGGCCUCCCCACCUUCAAUUCCUCUUGCAUUUCUUUUUCCAUUGGAUAAGAAGCUGUAAAUGUAUUUGCAGCUUAUUAGUUGUUUUAAAGUAUUUUUCCAGCAAAUAUGACAGGCUCAGGCUUCUUAAUGAUUGCAUUUUUCAUUUCUUUUGUUCACCAGAAACUUGAGAAUUUUUAGCAUUGCUAGCAUUAUUUUAACUUCUGAUCAUAAUAUAGCUUUAUCAUCUGUUCUUUGUAGAUCAUUGUUGCUA